rnacentral:lncRNA from 1 species
UCGGGAAUUUUACUCAAUGCAUCAUACCGCUGAUCGUCGGUUAAACCUUCAAUUGACCAUAAGGCUGAAUAUAAAUUUGAAGCUCUCUCUUCCAUAUGUUGUUCUGACUUCUGCUGAACUACCACCUCGGAGGCAAAACUCCUACUGAUUUGAUCGCCAACGGCCUGGAUUUUCUCCCCGAACAAAGUGGCAGCCUCAUUAAAUGAAGAAAACACAUUAUCACGAGCAUCAGAUUUCUUCUUUCUCUUGUUUGAAGAUGAGGAACCC